rnacentral:rRNA from 1 species
CAGCCGCCGCGGGAAUACAGAGGGUGCAAGCGUUAAUCGGAAUUACUGGGCGUAAAGCGCGCGUAGGUGGUUCGCCAAGUUGGAUGUGAAGUCCCCGGGCUCAACCUGGGAACUGCAUCCAAAACUGGCGAGCUAGAGUAUGGUAGAGGGUGGUGGAAUUUCCUGUGUAGCGGUGAAAUGCGUAGAUAUAGGAAGGAACAUCAGUGGCGAAGGCGACCACCUGGACUGAUACUGACACUGAGGUGCGAAAGCGUGGGGAGCAAACAGGAUUAGAGACCCCUGUAGUCCCUGUCUCUUAUAC